CAGUCGAGCGGUAGCACAGAGAGCUUGCUCUCGGGUGACGAGCGGCGGACGGGUGAGUAAUGUCUGGGAAACUGCCUGAUGGAGGGGGAUAACUACUGGAAACGGUAGCUAAUACCGCAUAACGUCGCAAGACCAAAGUGGGGGACCUUCGGGCCUCAUGCCAUCAGAUGUGCCCAGAUGGGAUUAGCUAGUAGGUGGGGUAACGGCUCACCUAGGCGACGAUCCCUAGCUGGUCUGAGAGGAUGACCAGCCACACUGGAACUGAGACACGGUCCAGACUCCUACGGGAGGCAGCAGUGGGGAAUAUUGCACAAUGGGCGCAAGCCUGAUGCAGCCAUGCCGCGUGUGUGAAGAAGGCCUUCGGGUUGUAAAGCACUUUCAGCGGGGAGGAAGGCGGUGAGGUUAAUAACCUCAUCGAUUGACGUUACCCGCAGAAGAAGCACCGGCUAACUCCGUGCCAGCAGCCGCGGUAAUACGGAGGGUGCAAGCGUUAAUCGGAAUUACUGGGCGUAAAGCGCACGCAGGCGGUCUGUCAAGUCGGAUGUGAAAUCCCCGGGCUCAACCUGGGAACUGCAUUCGAAACUGGCAGGCUAGAGUCUUGUAGAGGGGGGUAGAAUUCCAGGUGUAGCGGUGAAAUGCGUAGAGAUCUGGAGGAAUACCGGUGGCGAAGGCGGCCCCCUGGACAAAGACUGACGCUCAGGUGCGAAAGCGUGGGGAGCAAACAGGAUUAGAUACCCUGGUAGUCCACGCCGUAAACGAUGUCGAUUUGGAGGUUGUGCCCUUGAGGCGUGGCUUCCGGAGCUAACGCGUUAAAUCGACCGCCUGGGGAGUACGGCCGCAAGGUUAAAACUCAAAUGAAUUGACGGGGGCCCGCACAAGCGGUGGAGCAUGUGGUUUAAUUCGAUGCAACGCGAAGAACCUUACCUGGUCUUGACAUCCACAGAACUUAGCAGAGAUGCUUUGGUGCCUUCGGGAACUGUGAGACAGGUGCUGCAUGGCUGUCGUCAGCUCGUGUUGUGAAAUGUUGGGUUAAGUCCCGCAACGAGCGCAACCCUUAUCCUUUGUUGCCAGCGGUUAGGCCGGGAACUCAAAGGAGACUGCCAGUGAUAAACUGGAGGAAGGUGGGGAUGACGUCAAGUCAUCAUGGCCCUUACGACCAGGGCUACACACGUGCUACAAUGGCAUAUACAAAGAGAAGCGACCUCGCGAGAGCAAGCGGACCUCAUAAAGUAUGUCGUAGUCCGGAUUGGAGUCUGCAACUCGACUCCAUGAAGUCGGAAUCGCUAGUAAUCGUAGAUCAGAAUGCUACGGUGAAUACGUUCCCGGGCCUUGUACACACCGCCCGUCACACCAUGGGAGUGGGUUGCAAAAGAAGUAGGUAGCUUAACCUUCGGGAGGGCGC
rnacentral:rRNA from 1 species